CAUUGGACAGUAGGUACCAUUCGUCGUCCUCGUAUACACGCGGAUUCAAAGAAUAUCGUUUCAUACCAGCACAUGGAUUCCAUAUUACAAAAUCAAAAUAUUUAUCACUUGCAGUGACAUUCGCCGAUAUAAGAUCCAUUUCGUAGAUCACUGGCAACUGUACCGCUUCCGUCCCGUUCAUGGUGGCCUCCACGCAAUUGUCUCCGUUGAGGAAAGUGUCAACACGACAGCAUAGUGACAUGCGGGGCUUCCCGGAGCUGUCACCGGAGCUGUUGAUGCCAAUCGUUUUCUAGGAGUAAAGAGCCAGAGGAAACGAAGACAAAUAAUGUUAAUUCACGAUUGGAUAUGAGCAGAGAGGAACCAAAUGCCAUUUUUUAGAUUUUUAUUAUUGAAAGUAUUAUAUAACCGAUAGCGAAUUAUGCAUAAUACAAUCAGUUGGCAAAAUUAUUUUAGAUCCACACAUGCUAUUGUAGAAUUUUUCUGAUUACUAUCUGAAUAUUAUUCAACUUUUUGAUGUUCCUUUCUGCGUAUUAUAUCCAAUUACACCAGUUAAUAGAGAAAAUAAUUGAGUCCAAGCCACUAUGUGAAUUAAUCAAUCAGAGAUGAACAAAUUACUGUAAUUCAUUAGCAGAUUAAUAUUUAAGCAGCUUCUGAUCUAUAAAUGCAUAAAUGUUCCACAUAUUUCAUUAUUUCUAGAUUAUUUGCAUUUACACAUUUAAUCAAGUUAAUUCUCAAGAUGCAAGUUCUUUCGAAAAUCUUGAUUAAUUACGACACACAAACAAUUAGUAAUCGUCUUUGAUCAUUAUUUCACGAAUACUCGAAAAUUUACUAUCAGUCAUUAUAACGAAAUCAGCAUUAAAUAUCGUUAAGGUAAGCAAAAGUAUUAUAAUACGCGUUAGCAAAGCGACGAAUUAAUAUCUCAUCGACAAAUUCCAAAUACAACAUAGUGUGCAAUCGAACUUGGAAUUAUCUCUACCUCCAGAUAAACAUGAGGGACGAUAAAAUUUUCCUUCCAUUUUGAUUCCUCUGGCUCUUCCUUUGUCUGAUCGCUUUCGAAAGUGGCAGCCGCGAUCAAGACCGCGUGAAACGCGAUGAACAGGGCUGUUCUCAGAUGCCGUUUCAUUAUGUACUAAUUUAAUGAGGCUGUUAAACAGCAACUCUGAAUAAUUAUCGUCACCGCCUCUCAACGUUAUCACCGUACGGAAGCUUACUCACGAAAGUGCCACAAGAAAUGAAGCGGAAGAGAGAAAGAGAAAGAUAAAAAACACGAUGACUCUCUGAAGAAAUACGUUAUCUCGAUGGAUUCGAUAAAGUUAGCACUACGUUCCGUUUUGCCGCGACUUUUCCUGGCGACGGAUGAAGCAGGAAGAGCGCACGAGAAAUGCGAAACACUCGCGCGAGCAACCGGACGAGACUACCAGACAACGAGCCGUCUGCGUUAGAGAAGCAGUCUACCUGCUGCGAAGCCACGCAUAUAGGGCGGGUCGAAAAAAAAAGAUUCAUU